UACAGAGGUGGCAAGCGUUGUUCGGAAUUACUGGGCGUAAAGGGCGCGUAGGCGGUCUUUUAAGUCUUGUGUGAAAUCCCUCGGCUCAACUGAGGAACUGCACGGGAUACUGGAAGACUUGAGUUCGGGAGAGGGAAGCGGAAUUCCGGGUGUAGCGGUGAAAUGCGUAGAUAUCCGGAGGAACACCGGUGGCGAAGGCGGCUUCCUGGACCGACACUGACGCUGAGGCGCGAAAGCUAGGGGAGCAAACGGG
rnacentral:rRNA from 1 species